UACGUAGGGGGCUAGCGUUGUCCGGAAUUACUGGGCGUAAAGCGCACGUAGGCGGCUAUUCAAGUCGGGGGUGAAAGCCCGGGGCUCAACCCCGGAACUGCCCUCGAAACUAGAUAGCUAGAAUCUUGGAGAGGCGAGUGGAAUUCCGAGUGUAGAGGUGAAAUUCGUAGAUAUUCGGAAGAACACCAGUGGCGAAGGCGACUCGCUGGACAAGUAUUGACGCUGAGGUGCGAAAGCGUGGGGAGCAAACAGG
rnacentral:rRNA from 1 species